CCCGCCGCGCAGCCUGGGCCAAACGCUGGCCUUAGGAGGGUCCUUUUAAAGUCCGGGCAGAAGAGAAGGGCGUCCGGACUCUUCCCGGGUGGAGCUGCCUACCCUCCCACAAGGUCCCUGCUGCAGCGCCCAGCCCACAUAAGGAAUGUUCUUGGCUCUUCCCAGCCCUUGUAGUUACGUCACUGGACGCUGGUGCUCGCUUGUCUCUUCAAAGCAGCUCUAUCCAGGUACUUGCAGCAGGUGGGGAUGGAAUAGACCUCGAGGACAAGCUCGGAGACCACUGGACAGAAAGAGUGAGGGGUCUCUGUCACUGUGGAGCAGAGACCAGGAACCUCACCUGUGGUCUCAGUUUCCUCAGUGGUCAAGUGAGGGAUUUCCGUUCUGUGACUGAUGGUUUGGGCUAUCAUCCAGGCAACUGAAGUAAGAGUGCAAACUUCACUCCGCACUUCUGGCUCUGGGCACUGAUCACUGCCCCAUAAGUAACGUCCAGAAUGUCUCCAGUUAGAGGAAUGGGGAGUUUUUCUUUGUGAAGGGAGAUGUAAGGAGUGUGUGCCUGUUAGAAUCCGUCUCAAGCGGACCUUGACUGCGGUGGUCAUGCAAACCUGCCCAAAAUGAUGACAUUGCACACAGCUAAAUGGACACAGGAGUGCACCAACGCUGAGGAAAUCUAACCAAGCUUGGCAGAUUGUAUCAAUGUUAAUGUUCUGACUGAGGUGCAGGUUGCAAACGAUGUCCCUGUACUGUUUUUUACAACUAAAUGUGAAUCUGUAAUUAUCUUCAGCUAAGACGUUUGAUUUAAAAAGUGGCUGGAUCGGGACACCAAAAGACAAAGGGCCAUAUAAACGCACGUAGAGUUUUUGGAAGUUCCCUAGUCUCAAAACGCACCGCCCUGCCCUGUGAUAUAUUAACUUAAAUCUCAGUUAACUACGGCUGAAAUUCAGGCCACUAGAUUCACUAAGCAGAGACCAAGAUUUCAUUGUCCCGUAAGUCACAGCCAAAGUCAUCUUUAACGUUUUAUAUUGACCAUGUAAUCAGAUGACCUAUCCACCGCUUGAACGGGUUAUACUGUUCAUUCUCAAACUUAGGUGGAGGUCGACGUUUAUCCUUAGUAAAUUUAAUUUUACUGAGUUUUUUCUUAAUCUUCACAUUAGGCAUUCCUCCCAGCUUAGCAUUAUUUGAAUAGGUCUAAGACUGCUGUAUCUAUAGACAUUAAUAAAUACAGCAGAAGGGACUGGAUCAAGUCUGUGUGGCCUGCUUUGAGAUAGAUGCCCUCUUCCCAGACCCUCAUAAAUCCUUUCGUUGGCGGUCUUGGGUUUAUAUAGGUGGGCAAAUCUACCAUCACACCUAGACUUCUGUAUCAUGUCUGUUGUAUCGUUAUAAGACAGUAUAAUGUAUCUUGGAAACCAUCAGUGUCUUGUGACUGAAAGGCAUUGCCCCAAUUUAUUAGCCUCGCACCCUUUUUGGAAGAGUUUAGUAUGACACUGAACCAGUGUGGACUUACAAUGGUAAUGGUUUUCUUUUCUAAGAACUCAUAACUCAGCCAGAUUUUCUAAGGACAGAAUAUAUUUGUUAGCAUCUAGCUUUUCUGUUAGAAAGCUAGGGACAAAUAGGCUUUAUGAGCCUAUGUUCUUCUGGACCUGUAGACAUGACCCUGUGACCCAUCAACAUCUAAGCAUUCAAUAGCCCUGGGUAUAUGCCACUUUUUCAAACCUGAGGCUUCCUUUAAUAGAGAAGAGACAGGUGAAACUUGAGGUUGUUCUUUUGGUGUCUGGCCGGCUCAGUCCAUACAGCGUGUGACUCUUAAAUCUCGGGGUUGUGAGUUCCAGCCCCGUGUUGGGUGUGGAGAUUACUGACAAAUAAAAGUU